CACUUCUAAACUAGUCGAACUAACUUCUUCAUUUCUCCAUCGGUACUACCAAUACCACCACCAUUUCUUACGCCACCACCUACACCGCCGCAACCAACACCAAUAGCAGCACCCCCAUCAUCUCCAUCGUCACAACCACAACCAUCAUCAUCGUUUCUCCACCUCCCAAUCAAUCGAUUUAGACCGAUGUUCACUUGACUCAACCAUGAAACUUAAAUCUGGUGAUGAACCAACGAGAAAUUAACCUCCAAAACCUAAUCUCGAGUAUCAACAACAUUAGAUUCAUCCCUAUUUUAACUGAAUUGUACAUCUAUUUUAAUAUGGUGCUGUUGGUGGUGGAUAAUUGCGGCACUGAUGGCGGAUAUUUGUUGCACUUGAGGUAAUGGUGGUGGGAAGAUUCUGUGUGAUUGUUAAUGGUGGUGGUGAGCUCCGAAUGAUAAAUUGAUGAUUAGAUAAUGUACAUGUUACUGUAUGCUUAUUGGUAAAGCAAAACUAAAUGAUCUUAAUGUCAAAAAUGAUUAAACAAUAGUAAUUUUUAGAUCAUAGAUUCUAGUUCUCAUCUGAAUUACCAACCCUGGAAUGCCAAAUUGCUGGAACCAUAGGAUUACAACUGAUAAUUUGUUACAAGCUAUACAAAUAGAUGAACGAGGAACACCCGAUAGAAAGCAUAAAAGCCUAGAAAUGUGGAAGCAACUAGCUCUCAAUGAAGUUGUUAUGGCGUUGGCAUCUGUGAACUUUCCAGAUCUGAAGAACGUUGAGUUUGUACUUCUCUGAACUCAACUCAACUUUUGUGUUACCACUUAAUGUUUAGGUCUUGUUGUGGUGAUUGAAUGAGAGUUUUGAUGGUCUGCCAUUAAUGAAUUUGAUUGGAAAUGGUGACUUGAGAAUUGGUUGAGUCGUGGACAAGAAGGUUACAAAGAUGAUGGUGGCUGUGAUGUUGUGUAUGCUGGUAGUGUUUGAGCAGCAAGGAAAUGGCUGAGCUGCAGAUAAGAGUGUUGCUGGUGAUGAACACCGGAGAUGUGUGUUGGAAGUGAGAAGUAAAUGGAUAGACUUCGGUUUUUAUGGAUCACCUACGGUUGUUGAUCCUAUUUAUGGGAUCAAUUCUCGUUGUUGAUCCAAUAUUUUAUGGGAUCAACUACUGUUGUUGAUCCUAUUUAUGGGAUCAACUCCUGUUGUUGAUCCAAUUUUUUAUGGGAUCAACUACUGUUGUUGAUCCUUUCAACUCCUAUUGUUGACAAUAUUUUGUUGGAUAAGUAUAAUCAU